CCCACCAAGAAAUCAUUAUGACUGUUAUUGUGAAAGUGUUGAUUAAUCACAGCUUCUCCAGCAAGUACUUCUUGUCCAGCUUUAUCCAUAAAGAGUACAAGGAGAUACUGAACAGAUCCAGCAGCUGACAGCUGAGGAGGUCAUUUUAUCCAACUGCCUGCCUCUCUUUCAUAGUUAAGUUGACCCCUAAAGUGUGUAUGAAGAGGGAGCAAAUGGUGUCCAAUGGGCAACCAGACCUGCACACAGUACGCCAGAAGAUGCCUCACCAUCGUCUGCAGAACCUCAGCAUGAUGUCCCAACUCCUAUACCCAAAUAUCUGUGUAAUAAAG